AGUUGGUGGUGUAAUAGACUACCAAGGCGAUGACGGGUAGGGGGUGUGAGAGCAUGGCCCCCAGCAUUGGCACUGAGACACUGGCCAAACACCUACGGGUGGCUGCAGUCGAGAAUAUUCCACAAUGGACGAAAGUCUGAUGGAGCGACACCGCGUGCGAGAUGAAGGCCUUAGGGUCGUAAAUCGCUUUUAUUAGGGAUCAAUGUACUGAGCGUACCUAAUGAAUAAGAGGUUACUAACUCUGUGCCAGCAGUAGCGGUAAUACAGAGACCUCAAGCGUUAUCCGGAUUUAUUGGGCGUAAAGCGUAUGUAGGCGGAUGUGUUAGUCGUGUGUCAAAUCUUCGGGCUCAACCCGGAAACUGCUCACGAAACGGCAUGUCUUGAGAAAGUGAGAGAUGACUGGAACUCACGGUGUAGUAGUAAAAUGCUUUGAUAUCAUGGGGAACACCAAAGGCGAAGGCAGGUCAUUGGCACUUUUCUGACGCUGAGAUACGAAAGCGUGGGGAGCGAAUGGGAUUAGAUACCCCAGUAGUCCACGCCGUAAACGAUGCAUACUCGGCAUAUGGAGUAUCGACCCUCUGUGUGUCUUAGCUA
rnacentral:rRNA from 1 species